rnacentral:rRNA from 1 species
CUUGAUGAACGCUAGCCACAGGCUUAACACAUGCAAGUCGAGGGGCAGCAUGGUCUUAGCUUGCUAAGGCCGAUGGCGACCGGCGCACGGGUGAGUAACACGUAUCCAACCUGCCGUCUACUCUUGGACAGCCUUCUGAAAGGAAGAUUAGUACAAGAUGGCAUCAUGAGUCCGCAUGUUCACAUGAUUAAAGGUAUUCCGGUAGACGAUGGGGAUGCGUUCCAUUAGAUAGUAGGCGGGGUAACGGCCCACCUAGUCUUCGAUGGAUAGGGGUUCUGAGAGGAAGGUCCCCCACAUUGGAACUGAGACACGGUCCAAACUCCUACGGGAGGCAGCAGUGAGGAAUAUUGGUCAAUGGGCGAGAGCCUGAACCAGCCAAGUAGCGUGAAGGAUGACUGCCCUAUGGGUUGUAAACUUCUUUUAUAAAGGAAUAAAGUCGGGUAUGGAUACCCGUUUGCAUGUACUUUAUGAAUAAGGAUCGGCUAACUCCGUGCCAGCAGCCGCGGUAAUACGGAGGAUCCGAGCGUUAUCCGGAUUUAUUGGGUUUAAAGGGAGCGUAGAUGGAUGUUUAAGUCAGUUGUGAAAGUUUGCGGCUCAACCGUAAAAUUGCAGUUGAUACUGGAUAUCUUGAGUGCAGUUGAGGCAGGCGGAAUUCGUGGUGUAGCGGUGAAAUGCUUAGAUAUCACGAAGAACUCCGAUUGCGAAGGCAGCCUGCUAAGCUGCAACUGACAUUGAGGCUCGAAAGUGUGGGUAUCAAACAGGAUUAGAUACCCUGGUAGUCCACACGGUAAACGAUGAAUACUCGCUGUUUGCGAUAUACUGCAAGCGGCCAAGCGAAAGCGUUAAGUAUUCCACCUGGGGAGUACGCCGGCAACGGUGAAACUCAAAGGAAUUGACGGGGGCCCGCACAAGCGGAGGAACAUGUGGUUUAAUUCGAUGAUACGCGAGGAACCUUACCCGGGCUUAAAUUGCAGAUGAAUUACGGUGAAAGCCGUAAGCCGCAAGGCAUCUGUGAAGGUGCUGCAUGGUUGUCGUCAGCUCGUGCCGUGAGGUGUCGGCUUAAGUGCCAUAACGAGCGCAACCCUUGUUGUCAGUUACUAACAGGUUCCGCUGAGGACUCUGACAAGACUGCCAUCGUAAGAUGUGAGGAAGGUGGGGAUGACGUCAAAUCAGCACGGCCCUUACGUCCGGGGCUACACACGUGUUACAAUGGGGGGUACAGAGGGCCGCUACCACGCGAGUGGAUGCCAAUCCCCAAAACCUCUCUCAGUUCGGACUGGAGUCUGCAACCCGACUCCACGAAGCUGGAUUCGCUAGUAAUCGCGCAUCAGCCACGGCGCGGUGAAUACGUUCCCGGGCCUUGUACACACCGCCCGUCAAGCCAUGGGAGCCGGGGGUACAAGAAGUGCGUAACCGCGAGGAGCGCCCUAG